rfam:Triticum aestivum genome assembly, contig: Triticum_aestivum_CS42_TGACv1_scaffold_632693_7DS
CUUGUACUCCCUCCGUCCGAAAAUACUUGUCAUUGAAAUGGAUGUAUCUAGAUGUAUUUUAGUUCUAGACACAUCCAUUUUGAUGACAAGUAAUUCCGGACGGAGGGAGUACUUG